CACGCAGGCGGUUUGUUAAGUCAGAUGUGAAAUCCCCGGGCUCAACCUGGGAACUGCAUCUGAUACUGGCAAGCUUGAGUCUCGUAGAGGGGGGUAGAAUUCCAGGUGUAGCGGUGAAAUGCGUAGAGAUCUGGAGGAAUACCGGUGGCGAAGGCGGCCCCCUGGACGAAGACUGACGCUCAGGUGCGAAAGCGUGGGAGCAGACA
rnacentral:rRNA from 1 species